rnacentral:rRNA from 1 species
GAUGAACGCUGGCGGCGUGCCUAAUACAUGCAAGUCGAGCGAACAGACGAGGAGCUUGCUCCUCUGACGUUAGCGGCGGACGGGUGAGUAACACGUGGAUAACCUACCUAUAAGACUGGGAUAACUUCGGGAAACCGGAGCUAAUACCUGAUAACAUGUUGAACCGCAUGGUUCAACAGUGAAAGACGGUCUUUCUGUCACUUAUAGAUGGAUCCGCGCCGCAUUAGCUAGUUGGUAAGGUAACGGCUUACCCAGGCAACGAUGCGUAGCCGAGCUGAGAGGGUGAUCGGCCACACUGGAACUGAGACACGGUACAGACUCCUACGGGAGGCAGCAGUAGGGAAUCUUACGCAAUGGGCGAAAGCCUGACGGAGCAACGCCGCGUGAGUGAAGAAGGUCUUCGGAUCGUAAAACUCUGUUAUUAGGGAAGAACAAAUGUGUAAGUAACGAUGCACGUCUUGACGGUACCUAAUCAGAAAGCCACGGCUAACUACGUG